ensembl:lncRNA
AUUUCCAGCUUCCACUGUGAUCACUGUGUCUGUAAUUCCGCUGCUGCUUCUGAUUGCAAUCUCAUUCCUCUUUGUGAUUCUACAAAAAAGACAGAAGAUGCAAGGAGGUACAGCUUCUACUGGCAGGAGUUCUGUCCAAACCUCAGGAAAUCACCAAGGGGUUCCUCCUGAUGUCUGUGAGUACGAGGACAUUAAAGACACCAGACGACUUCCUGCCUCAGACGUUGGAUCUUCUUCAGUUUACUCUACUGCUCAACUACCCACAAUCCUCUCUGAUCCUCAACCUGUUUAUUCAAACACAGAGUUACCCACAAGCCCCUGUGAUUCUAUUCUAUUCUAUUCUGCUGUUUAUUCUGCUGUUCAACGACCCACAAUCCCCUC